rnacentral:misc_RNA from 1 species
GAGAGAUGGAAACAAUUUCCAUUGUUGCCUCAAGAUCCUCAUGAGAGAGCCAAGGCUCGCUUUUGGGCUAAGUUUGGUGAUGAUAAGGUGUUACAAACAAUGAGAAUGGAUGUUCUCUCAAAGCAAGGAAAAGAACAAGAAGAAGCAAUAGUUUCAACCAUAGAGAACUUGAAAUAUUUGGAAGAAGAGCUAAAGGGAAAGAAAUUCUUUGGAGGAGAGACCAU